CAUCUUCGAUUUGUUGCGGACAAAUCCAAUGGAUAUGCGCGUCGAAUCCGCCUGCGGUCAGAAUGCGCCCCUCGCCAGCGAUGGCUUCGGUUCCGGGUCCAAUGAUGAUGUUGACGCCGUUUUGAGUGUCGGGGUUUCCGGCCUUGCCUAUCUUGUGGAUUCUGCCGUCACGCAGUCCGACGUCGGCUUUGUAGAUGCCGGUAUGGUCGACGAUCAGCGCGUUGGUGAUCACGGUAUCGACGGCCCCUUCGGCGCGCGUGGUUUGCGCCUGCCCCAUACCGUCACG
rnacentral:sRNA from 1 species